GGAGGAGUACCCAAGUUCGGCUGAAGGGGGUAGACUCGAAAUCUACUAGGGGCUUCACGGCCCGCGGGGGUUCGAAUCCCUCCUCCUCCGCCA
rnacentral:tRNA from 2 species